UACGGAGGGGGCUAGCGUUGUUCGGAAUUACUGGGCGUAAAGCGCGCGUAGGCGGUCCUGCAAGUCGGGGGUGAAAGCCCGAGGCUCAACCUCGGAACUGCCUUCGAUACUGCGGGUCUCGAGUCCGGGAGAGGUGAGUGGAAUUCCUAGUGUAGAGGUGAAAUUCGUAGAUAUUAGGAAGAACACCAGUGGCGAAGGCGGCUCUCUGGGACGGUACUGACGCUGAGACGCGAAAGCGUGGGGAGCAAACAGG
rnacentral:rRNA from 1 species